rnacentral:ncRNA from 1 species
GCCAUGCUUGACUCGUCGCAUGACCGGAUUGAAAGGGGUUAGGUUACCUGGGGCAAACCGGAUGAUUAUCAACCGGGUGGCGAAGC